rnacentral:rRNA from 1 species
GGGGGGAAGGGGGCUUGCUCCUGAAUCAGCGGCGGACGGGUGAGUAAUGCCUAGGAAUCUGCCUGGUAGUGGGGGACAACGUUUCGAAAGGAACGCUAAUACCGCAUACGUCCUACGGGAGAAAGUGGGGGAUCUUCGGACCUCACGCUAUCAGAUGAGCCUAGGUCGGAUUAGCUAGUUGGUGAGGUAAAGGCUCACCAAGGCGACGAUCCGUAACUGGUCUGAGAGGAUGAUCAGUCACACUGGAACUGAGACACGGUCCAGACUCCUACGGGAGGCAGCAGUGGGGAAUAUUGGACAAUGGGCGAAAGCCUGAUCCAGCCAUGCCGCGUGUGUGAAGAAGGUCUUCGGAUUGUAAAGCACUUUAAGUUGGGAGGAAGGGCAGUAAGUUAAUACCUUGCUGUUUUGACGUUACCAACAGAAUAAGCACCGGCUAACUUCGUGCCAGCAGCCGCGGUAAUACGAAGGGUGCAAGCGUUAAUCGGAAUUACUGGGCGUAAAGCGCGCGUAGGUGGUUCGUUAAGUUGGAUGUGAAAGCCCCGGGCUCAACCUGGGAACUGCAUCCAAAACUGGCGAGCUAGAGUAUGGCAGAGGGUGGUGGAAUUUCCUGUGUAGCGGUGAAAUGCGUAGAUAUAGGAAGGAACACCAGUGGCGAAGGCGACCACCUGGGCUAAUACUGACACUGAGGUGCGAAAGCGUGAGGAGCAAACAGGAUUAGAUACCCUGGUAGUCCACGCCGUAAACGAUGUCGACUAGCCGUUGGGAUCCUUGAGAUCUUAGUGGCGCAGCUAACGCAUUAAGUCGACCGCCUGGGGAGUACGGCCGCAAGGUUAAAACUCAAAUGAAUUGACGGGGGGCCCGCACAAGCGGUGGAGCAUGUGGUUUAAUUCGAAGCAACGCGAAGAACCUUACCAGGCCUUGACAUGCAGAGAACUUUCCAGAAGAUGGAUUGUUGCCUUCGGGAACUCUUUACCAAGGUGCUGCAUGGCCUGUCGUUCAGCUCUUGUCCUUGAUAUGUUGGGGUUAAGUCCCGGA